CAGCACCUCAAGUGGUCAGGAUGAUUAUUGGGCCUAAAGCAUCCGUAGCCGGCUCUGUAAGUUUUCGGUUAAAUCUGUAUGCUCAACAUACAGGCUGCCGGGAAUACUGCAGAGCUAGGGAGUGGGAGAGGUAGACGGUACUCGGUAGGAAGGGGUAAAAUCCUUUGAUCUAUUGAUGACCACCUGUGGCGAAGGCGGUCUACCAGAACACGUCCGACGGUGAGGGACGAAAGCUGGGGGAGCAAACCGGAUUAGAUACCCGAGUAGUCC
rnacentral:rRNA from 1 species